rnacentral:rRNA from 1 species
CCUGAGAGACGGCUACUACAUCUAAGGAAGGCAGCAGGCGCGCAAAUUUCCCAUUGCUUAUCAUUUUAUGUAAGCGAGGAAGUGACGAUCAAUAACAAUGUGUGACUCUUUAUGGGUUAUGCAAUUGGAAUGACUACAAUUUAAAGAGUUUAAGAAGGAUCAAUUGGAGGGCAAGUCUGGUGCCAGCAGCCGCGGUAAUUCCAGCUCCAAUAGGAUAUAUCAAAGUUGUUGCAGUUAAAAAGCUCGUAGUUGAAUUUCUGGAAGGUAGAAGUGUUUUUUUUAGAGAAGCAAUUUUUUAUUGAAAGCACCGCUUUCCAUUUUGUGGAUUUCUGUUUUGUAUAAAGAUAGUUUACUCUAUUUUUGUAUAAAAUACCACUCCGUCACUGAGAGCAAAUUGGAGUGCUCAAAGCAGGCUUUAUUAGCUUUGAACAUUUUAGCUUGGAAUGACAAGAUAUGACUUUUGUUUUAUUUUGUUGGUUAUGAAAUAAAAGUAAUGAUUAACAGGAACAGUUGCGGGGGUACUCGUAUUGAAAGGUCAGAGGUGAAAUUCUUGGAUUCUUUCAAGACGAACGACUGCGAAAGCAUUUACCAAGGAUGUUUUCAUUAAUCAAGAACGAAAGCUCGGGGAUCGAAGAUGAUUAGAUACCAUCGUAGUCCGACGCCAUAAACGAUGCCGACUCGGGAUUAUUUUGUUUGUUUAAAAUAAAAAAGAACACAAAGUAGCACCGUAUGAGAAAUCAAAGUCUUUGGGUUCCGGGGGGAGUAUGGUCGCAAGGCUGAAACUUAAAGGAAUUGACGGAAGGGCACACCAGAGGUGGAGCCUGCGGUUUAAUUUGACCCAACACGGGGAAACUUACCAGGUCCAGACAUGAUGAGGAUUGACAGUUUGAAAGCACUUUCUUGAUUUCAUGGGUGGUGGUGCAUGGCCGUUCUUAGUUGGUGGAGUGAUUUGUCUGGUUGAUUCCGAUAACGAACGAGACGGGGUGAAUUUACUAGUUUGUUAUAUAAUUUACGUUAUAUAAGACUUCUUUAUUCGACAACUUGGUUUUACCAAGAGGAAGCGCCCCGCAAUAACAGGUCUGUGAUGCCCUUAGAUGUUCUGGGCUACACGCGCGCUACAAUGACGAAUUCAACGAGUUUCAAUUUAUUCCUUAUCCGGAAGGAUGUGGGUAAUCUUUUCAAUAUUCGUCGUGAUGGGGCUAGAUUUUUGCAAUUAUUAAUCUUCAACGAGGAAUCUCUAGUAUGUGCAAGUCAUCAGCUUGCGCAGAAUGCGUCCCUGCCCUUUGUACACACCGCCCGUCGCACCUACCGAUUGGACGAUCCGGCAAGAUGUUUGGAGUUGUUUUGAUUGUAGAGUAAUUUAUGAUGAAAAUGACAAAGCUCUUCAAACCUUAUCGUCUAGAGGAAGGUGAAGUCGUAACAAGGUCUCCGUAGGUGAACCUGCGGAG